AGUGGGGAAUAUUGGACAAUGGGCGCAAGCCUGAUCCAGCCAUGCCGCGUGUGUGAAGAAGGUCUUCGGAUUGUAAAGCACUUUAAGUUGGGAGGAAGGGCAGUAAAUUAAUACUUUGCUGUUAUGACGUUACCNACAGAAUAAGCACCGGCUAACUNNGUGCCAGCAGCCGCGGUAAUACNGAGGGUGCAAGCGUUAAUCGGAAUUACUGGGCGUAAAGCGCGCGUAGGUGGUUCGUUAAGUCGGAUGUGAAAUCCCCGGGCUCAACCUGGGAACUGCAUUCAAAACUGACGAGCUAGAGUAUGGUAGAGGGUGGUGGAAUUUCCUGUGUAGCGGUGAAAUGCGUAGAUAUAGGAAGGAACACCAGUGGCGAAGGCGACCACCUGGACUGAUACUGACACUGAGG
rnacentral:rRNA from 1 species